GUCAGAAACUCCUCCCAUAAAUGGGAGGGCGCAUAAAUUGCCAUCAUCUGACCAAAUUCAGUACCUUCCAUACUACCUUUGAGGACUAUCAUUCCAGUCCUACCAAGGAAAGUGCCAAGUCCCCUGCUCUAGA
rnacentral:sRNA from 16 species